rnacentral:rRNA from 1 species
CCUACGGGAGGCAGCAGUGGGGAAUAUUGGGCAAUGGGCGCAAGCCUGACCCAGCAACGCCGCGUGAAGGAAGAAGGCUUUCGGGUUGUAAAAUUCUUGUAAGAGGGAAGAGCAGAAGACGGUACCUCUUGAAUAAGCCACGGCUAACUACGUGCCAGCAGCCGCGGUAAUACGUAGGUGGCAAGCGUUGUCCGGAUUUACUGGGGGUAAAGGGCGUGCAGCCGGGAAGACAAGUCAGAUGUGAAAUCCCGCGGCUCAACCGCGGAACUGCAUUUGAAACUGUUUUUCUUGAGUACCGGAGAGGUCAUCGGAAUUCCUUGUGUAGCGGUGAAAUGCGUAGAUAUAAGGAAGAACACCAGUGGCGAAGGCGGAUGACUGGACGGCAACUGACGGUGAGGCGCGAAAGCGUGGGGAGCAAACAGGAUUAGAUACCCCAGUAGUC